AACUAGGAUAAAUAUGUGACUGGUAAUGACAGCAUUUCGCUGGUUGUGUUACUUUUCUUUUCUUAGAAUAACUGUCGUUUGCCUAAUAAGGUAAAACAGAGCCCACAUCACAUAUCAACAUUUCCACCUCGGCCUUCACAGCCUCGUCUUCUAUUUUCGCUGCUGUCGUCGCCUCCUCUGCCGCCUCCGCAGGCUGCUGCUAUCUGUUCCGUGAUGCAUCAUCGGCAGCAGGUAGCUUGCCUGGAACAGUCUACUUUCGCUUUCACGCUUCCUCUCUUUCAUGAUCACUUGUUUCGCUUCAGACGAGACAGACGGCGAGCUUUUCAGUUCACAAUAGCGAAUCUCUCCAAACACAGCAAUCUGUUCGUCCUCCGUCUUUGAGUUUUCUUCUCAAUUUGCGAGCUCUUUUCAGGUUUCAUGGAGAAGAGGUGUUACGGUUUCUUCCAAUGCCCCAACUGCAAGCAGCGGUGGGAGAGUUCCUUUGUUUUCUGUAGAGACUCUGGCGGCACCCUGACUCCCCUGUACAAACAGGACUGCAAGAAAUGCGGCAUUGGUUGUCUCCCUGACAAAGUGGAGCCCAUCCGUUGCUCGCUCUGCGGAGAAACUGACUGUAGCUGCAAGAGGCGACGCACUGACCCCAACAAACCCCAUCGCAGCGACCUCUGCCACAGGUGUCGCUCUGGUCGUCCCUGUCAGCAUCAGCAGCAAUGACUGCCAACUACAUCCCCGGCUUAUCUCCCUUGAUAGUGUUGUGGUUAUCAAAUACUAGCUUGUCACCAGGAAACUUGUAAGAUUCAUCUCCGGACACUCUCAGUAUGUCACACCAGGUACUUCGAUCCCUCUCUCUCUCACCAGUAUGGUGAACUUAAGCACUUCCUGCUACACCAACGAACCCACCCACUGUUUCCUUCUUGCUGGUCACAGUACAUGCUUGUAUCUACACAAUGCUGCUGCUAAUACUUAAAACUAUUUUCUGCCUGUACAAAGUGCUCAGAUUAUUCAGACACCAUAGGCUAAUCUUUGUGUCUUCCUAGAAUAACAGUUAUUACAUCAGGCUUUAUCUGGUGAGCUACGAACUUGAAAUGACUUUUGUCACCCUGCACACCAUCCUAUCUACUUUACAAGACUCUCCCACUGAUUUAUGUCAGUUUUAUAGGCUCUGUCGCAGUUACAGAGAUAGAGAGAUAAAAAAUUGCACUUUUCAAACAGCAAAACAGUAUCAGAUAUGUACACCAUAACAUAUACAUAUGUAGAUAUGUACGCAUUGUACAGCUGCUUGUGUACAGGUGGAUAUAUAGAAAUGAAAUUUGACAAAGUCAGUUUUUGCGAGUUUGUAUUUGGCUAGAGUGCGAGGUCUUGGGCCUAAGGUGACUGGUUCUUAAUUAAAUGUAACGAAUUUAACCAUCUUUUCUGGCUGUGAACCUGUGUUAUUUCCAUUGUUUGUGUCAUAAUUGUGACACGUGACUUUUGACUAUAAUAAAGACAAUAUAAGCACAA